rnacentral:lncRNA from 1 species
GACUCACAAACUGCAAGAUCAUGACCUGAGCCAAAGUCAGAGGCUUAACCGACUGAGCCACCCAGGCGUCCCUCCUUUUUUCUUAAUUCCUUACAAAAGUAGAGUAUCUCCUGUGGAAUGUCUGCUCCAAAUCAUACUGUAUCUCUACAGAUUUCUGCUUGACUCACACUUUUUUCAAGAAGUUUAUUAUUUUUUAAAAAAGAUUUCAUAUCUUCUUUUUUUUAGUGUUUAUUUAUUUUUGAGAGAGAGAGAGCAAGCAGGGGAGGGACAGGGAGGGGUACAGAGGAUCCGAAGCAGGCUCAGCACUGAGAGCAGAGAGCCUGAUGUGGGCCUUGAACUCACCAACCAUGAGAUCAUGACCUGAGCCAAAGACAGACGCUUAAUGGACUGAGCCACCCAGGCACCACUCAGGAAGUUUUUUUGUGUGUUUGUUUAUUUUCAGAAAAUUGUCUACUGGUUGUACUUAUGCCUAUUACCCUGAUUUUCUAUUUCAGUCUUUCCUAUUUCUUAUCCUAUAAUUUCUACUUGCUCAACAAUUCAUUUUUUUUUCUCCCUGUCGUACCAUUUCUGUUGGAAAACUGUAUCUGUAAACGCAAAAUGCAGUCACAACAUAAAUUUGUGUCACCUCUGCUCUAGAUUGCAGUCUCAGACUCUGUGCCUUCCGUGUUUUUAUAUUCUACUAAUGCCUGUACAGAAUUCCAUAAAGAGGUUUGCCCACAAAAAUCCUAUAUGCCUAACCUAAGAAACUGGUCAUUACAAAGAAGAGGCAGGCCACACCUUUGGAACGCUGAGGUGUCAUUUCCAGCUUGCACAAGUUUGUUCACCAGAGCCAGAAGCCAACAUAACGGAAGAUUUUGACAAUUCCUCGGAAAAUAAUUCUGAAGCUAUAUAAAGGUUUGCUAGAGCAGAGGGCUGGCUGUUGCCCUCUCAUUUAUUAUCUGAACCUGGGACUCGCUGAAAGUGUGCCAAAAGAACAAAUAAAAGAAGCUUUGCUUUCCUGUUUACUGUUUAAUGUCCUGCUCCCCUUCCCUAUCUUUUCUCUUCUCCCUUCCUUUUCACUCGUCCUCUCCUUCCUACCUCUGCUCCUGUUACCCCCGCUUUCUUUUCGCUAAUUUCGAUAUGGCACUAAAUAAUUUUCUAAUUCCAAUCAUACUCUAGGGAUGAUAGAAAUAGAACCAUCAACUUUAAAAAUGCAAAGUGGAAAGGAUUACAAAAUAAGGCCAAAUUAUUAUACUGUUUGCCGUGACUACUACUUUCUUACUGUUAGAUUUCUUGAUUUAUUUCCUUAGAAACUUGAGAAACAUGGCAAGUAGCUCUACAGCUCUUAUUCUUACCUAAACUUUUAGAAGUGUAGACAAUCUUCUACAAUGCUACUGUGCUUUGUAAUAGAGAAACAAUACAGCCUGUUCAUGUCCGUAUGCUUUCAUGUUGAAUGUCUACUAUGUAUAGAAUAGCUUUAAGAACUUCCCAAUAUGGUAGUAUAAAAUUAGAGUAUUUAUUUUACUAUCGAGUAAAUUUAUAUAUUAGCUCUAGAAGAAAUUAGAGAAACCAUAUUGUUUAACUGCAUCUACAAUGUUUUUAAUUUAUAUAUUUUUUUAAUUUACAUCCAAAUUAGUUAGCAUAUAGUGCAACAAUGAUCUCAGGAGUAUAUUCCUUAAUGCCCCUUGCCCAUUUAGCCCAUCCCCCCCCACCCACUCCAGUAACCCUUUGUUUGUUCUCCAUAUUUAUGAGUCUCUUCUGUUUUGUCCCCCUCCCUGUUUUUGUGUUAUUUUUGUUUCCCUUCCUUUAUGUUCAUCUGUUUUGUCUCUUAAAGUCCUCAUAUGAGUGAAGUCAUAUGAUUUUUGCCUUUCUCUGACUGACUGAUUUCACUUAGCAUAAUACCCCCCAGUUCCAUCCAUGUAGUUGCAAAUGGUAAGAUUUCAUUCUUUUUGAUUGCCGAUUAAUACUCCAUUGUAUAUAUAUAUACCACAUCUCCUUUAUCCAUUCAUCCAUCGAUGGACAUUUGGGCUUUUUCCAUACUUUGGCUAUUGUUGAUAGUGCUGCUAUAAACACUGGGGUGCAUGUGUCCCUUAGAAACAGCACACCUAUAUCCCUUGGAUAAAUACCGAGUAGUGCAAUUGCUAGGUCGUAGGGCAGUUCUAUUUUUAGUUUUUUGAGGAACCUCCAUAUUGUUUUCCAGAGUGGCUGCACCAGCUUGCAUUCCCAUAACUGCAUCUGCAAUAUUACAAAGAAGAAAAACUUAAAUGCACAUAAAAGGCUUGCUGAAGGUAAGAAGUAGAAAGCAGUUACAUUCUCUCAUUAGAACUAUGAUAUUGUUGGGGAAUAUAAUUUAGGGCUUUUAAGGAAUAUUCCUUCUGUAUUCCCUAAGAGAUUCUUGUGAUUUCUUCCCUUGACUUUAGGAGCUUUAUUUCUUCACUUCACCCUUUUCUUUAAAAAAAAAAAAUUCCCCAAAAGAGGGGUGUCUGAGUGGCUCAGUUGGUUAAGUGUCUGAGUCAUGAUUUUGGCUCAGGGCAUAAUCUCAUGGUUCGUGAGAUAGAGCCUGGUGUCAGGCCCUGUUCUGACAGUGCGGAGCCUGCUUGGAAUUCUCUCCCUCCCUCUCUCUGCCACUCCUCAGGUCACACUCUCUUUCUUUCAAAAUAAAUAAACAUUAAAAAAAAAAUUUCUCCAAAAGAAAAGAAAACCCUUCCUGGCCUUGCAUGGCUUACUGGAGGAUAAGAGUUUGAGGUGACCUCAGGGGUGACUGGGGAAGGACAGAAAAGCUGGCAUGUUCCAGGAGAGAGAAUGAACUGCUGAGGAAAUCACUUUAGAGUGACAUGUCUUCUCAGUCCUCACCUCCCUUUUCUGUCAUCUUUUCCUUCCUGCCUGUGAUCUUACAGCCAUUUGGCAGCCUCUUGCAUGAGAAAGGGUUAAAGAAUGUAUUGCCAUUCCUAGAGAAUUUGCCAUUUUAAAAGGUGGCACCUUGGGGCACCUGGGUGGCUCAGUCAGUUAAGCAUUCGACUUCUCAGGUCAUGAUCUCACAGUUUGUAAGUUCCAGCCCCGCGUCGGACUCAGUGCUGACAGCUCGGAGCCUGGAGCCUGCUUCGGAUUCUGUGUCUCCCUCUCUCCCUGCCCCUCCCCCACUCACGCUCUUUCUUUCUCAAAAAUAAAAUUAAAAAUAAAAUUAAAUAAAAUAAAAAGUGGCACCUUACUAUUCCAUUCCAUCAGUGUUAUGUAAGAGCGGAAGACUGGUCAAAAAUAAGCACUUAAAUUGACAUCACUCUUUCAAAAUCCAAGAUAUUUCAUUGAAUGCAUGAUGCCUAGGAAAGAAUGUGGAGUCCCACACAAAAUACUUUUCUUUCUUUCUUUCUUUCUUUCUUUCUUUCUUUCUUCUUUCUUUCUUUCUUUCUUUCUUUCUUUCUUUCUUUCUUUCUUUCUUUCUUUUUCUUUCUUAUUUAGACAAUCUGUUAAUAAAGAGGUCCAGAGAACAAUUGUAGCUAGAUGCUAGAUUCUGACAGCAGAGGAAAUGAACAUGCCAGCAAAGCUGGGCCAGAAGGCCACAGGUGACAGAAUGAGUGCAUCCAAAAGACACCCCAAGCUAAAGGAAUUCUAUUUGCCCUGAUUGUGUGAUUGGCCUUGAUUUUGUCCUCCAGCUGGCAAAUUAUGUUAAACAACUAUUUAUACACAUUGGAAAAAUGCAGGACAGGGCACCGAUCUUUGAGAAAGAGAGCAAAAGAGGUGAGCCCUGAAAUUGUCUUUAUCUUUUUUGCCUUUCUGGAUUGUUCCACUGGAAGAGGCAUCCAAGCAGAGGCAGUGGUUUCACAGAUUCCACUGAGAAGACAGAUUCAGAAUUCAUACAGGUUGAGGGGCUUCAAUUCCUCUGGCAGAGCACUCAUGAAGAAGCAGAAGAAGAGCUGUCGAGUCUUGUACGCCAGUUCCUUUGAGUCUGCUGGGGAUCCUAAGCUGGGCAUAAAUAGGGCGAAACUCCAUGAGGCCAGGCAAAGAACUACCAGGGAGCUGAUAAAUUUCUACAACUCACAGGACUGAGAGGCUUUCAAAUUCCAAAUAACUCGAGUAGAAAGCCUUCAUUAAGGAGGACAAUAAAGAAGAGAGAAGACACAAAUUGCUAGUAUCAGGAAUAAAACAGAAGUUAUCACUCUAAAUCCUAUUAACAGGUGAAGAGCAUUAAGAGAAUAUGAACAACGUGAUGCUGAUAUAUUUGGUAACUUUAAGUGAAUGGACAAAUUCUUUGAACAAACUACCAUCAACCAAGAAAGGAAAUAAAGCUGAAAAAGAGCAAAGACUUCUAUUUGUGGUCUCAGAAUUACAAUUCAGGGAGCAUAAGUCCUAGCAGAAACCAGAAAAGUAUUCUGCCUGCGGGGUGAAAGCGAGGGAUUUUUAUGAGAAAAGAGGAAGGAGGGCAGUUAUAUGACUUGGAUAAAAAAGAAAAAAAAUUGCCAGUUGGUACUAAGAGGCUGAACUGCUUUUGGUUACACAUUGAUUGGCUCUUCUCUUGGUCAAUCAAAUGAAACUAUUCUGGUAUGCAUUAGUUAACUACUCUGUCUUCAGAACGUCCACAACCAACUGUCUUAUGAUCAGGAUGCCUGCUGUCCUGUAGACAAACGUCCUAUAGACAAAAGCUUAUAAAACAACUGCCUCUUUUGGCCCAGCCAAGGAUCUUUUUGCCCAGUUCGAGUUCAUUAGCCAUUUGCUUUAGAAAGGAAAGUGGAGCUUUUCUCAAAAUAGAGUCUCUCGUGUCCAGAAGUUUUACACAAUUCCACAUGACCAAACUGACACUAGAUGAAGUAGAAAAUCUGAAUAGCUGUGAAGCUACCUCAUCUUGAGAUGGCACUUUAGGCUUUCCAUUCUUCCUGGUUCAGGAUGUUACUUCUUUUUACUAUUAUUAUUAUUUUUUUUAAGUUUAUUUAUUUUGAGAGAGAGCAAACCUGAGAGGGGGAGGGGCAGAGAGAGGGAGAGAGAAAAUCAGAAGCAGAGCUCGAUGUGGGGCUCAAUCUCAUGAAUCGCGAGAUCAUGACCUGAGCUGAAAUCAAGAGUCUGCUGCUUGAUCGACUGAGCCACUCAGGUUCCCCCCUGGUUCAGGAUGUUUUGACUAAGGUAGCAGGGUGGCUUUCCUUAACAAAAGUCAAUGUAAAGACCAUAGCAAUUUAUGCAGAAAUAUAUAAAACAGAGUCUCUAGACAUGAAGACACCAAGGUAGAGAAUGUGGAGAGAUAAUAAUGCAAACAAAAUCCUCUCAGAAAUCCUUCAGUGAAGAGUCGAAAUGAUAAACAAAAGCUUGUGGGGGAGACUGAGGAAUAACAUUCAGAGAGAAUAAAACUAGGACAGUGUGGUAGCUUGGAGUCAAGCUAAUAGAGGAUACACUUGACGUUCAAGAGAUGUUUCAUUAAAUAAGGAUGGAGAAGAAUCUGGUGAAAAUGAGGUUCUGAGGACAAGUAAAGGGUUACUUUUGAAAAUAGAAGCAGGGUAUUUUUUUGUGACGACAUUGAAGUGGAUAGGAGGAAAUAAGGUAAAUUUUUCAGAUAAGAGAAGAAGGAAGUCGAUAAAAUUUACUGCUAAUAGCUUGAAUCUUUUCAGUGAAAUAGCCUCCGGGUUUGAGUGUGGGAUGUAGGAUUCCACUUGAAGAAUGUGGGAAUUAUUUAAGCUAGCUUCUAGGGUAAAUAGAAGAAAAAGGUUGCUUAUUAGUUCAAACCUAGUUGGGUUUACUCAGCAUGCCCUUUGAAUGAGUAUAAUCAGCAGUAGGGGGUAUGAGAAUAAUGGAAACCAUGGAAUUAACCAAAGAUAGGGGAUUUUCCUGGCCCAUGCAACAAAAUGUUAGUGGAACAAAGGAUUCUAAAUUGAUUUAUGGACAUCACUGAAACGACUUACCAUAAAGUCUAGGCUAGGACAAUAAAUAUGGCCCUGAAAUACAAAAGGGCACAUAAGAGCUUAGAGAGGAAGUUCUCUGAGAUGUAAUACCUUGUUUCUGUGAGGCAAGAUGUUCUGGUUUAUUUUCUUGCUGUCAUUUAAUGUAUACUCCAACCGUAUAAUCUUGUUCUUUUAACUAAGAAUUAGUAUUCUUUAGAAUAUUCUGUUGCCACACUAAAAUAUUUAGUCAUGCUUAAUAACUUUAAUAAAGGUAGCCAAUUAAAAUAAACAGCAUCCCUCACUCUCAGAUACUCCUUAUUGUAAAGGUAAAUUGUAAAGACACUUUAUCUUAAAGGCUGAGCUUGAUUUUUUCUUUAAUGUUCUUAGUGGACAGUUUGUAUAGAAAAGAUCAAUAUUUCUCCUUAAUGCAUCUAGGACUUACUGUGAUAGAUAUUAGAGAAACAUGUUAUAUGAUAAAAGGGUCUACCAGCUGUUCCAUCACUAUUCAGCUUUCUCUUUACCAAGAUUGAUGAUGUGGCUAUAGCCAUGUAAUGUUUUUUAUAUCCCCUAGCAAUCUGUGAAGUUGAAUCAUGUGACACUGCUAUUUUUAUAGGUCACAAUGGUUGUAUUCACAGUUUCAUAUGCUUCAACCUAAUCUUUCAAAUUUUAUUUCUCUGACUUUGAAAAUACUAGAAUUAGAGGUAGAGUCUGGAUAUUAGCGAGUGAAGAAUUACAGUUUGAAUAUGCCGCAAACCAUUUUCGGCAUUAAACUUUUAAUGAUAGUACAAUACUAGCGUUACUGACUUUAAAAGGAAGUAGCACAACUAAUUUCUUAUAAUUAUAAAUACAUGGUUUUGUAGACUAUAAAAAACCCUGAUUCUUGUAGUCAUGCUCAGUCAUAGGCUUCUCCUUGUCUUUUAUUUCUAAUAUGUUUUUUCCUCCUUAGGUUUCAUAUGCAAUCUUAUUUCACUUCAUUUCUUCCCUACCAACUUCAAUUUAAUACUUGAAGCACUGGGUCAGCUUGCAAACUUAAUGCAAAUGUGUCAUUUUAUUAUACAUCUAGAAGAAAAAAAUGGAGAGCCUCAGAGGUAGGCCCCCGUCUCUCAUUGCUUCCUCUGAACUCGACAUGACAAGGACUCUCUUCUGCCCAGGUUUGUGAAUUGACAGGAUGUGUAAACGAACGGUUAAGUCCCCUGGUCGAUAAGAGAAUAGGAUCGGACUUCAACCAGCACAGUUCUUGAAGUCAACAGUCCGGCAUGGCACGACCAAGCUCUCUUCUGAGAGUAUCACAGAAUUGACAUCAAGGUGUAUGCUGGGUUGGGUUGUCAUCUGGAGGUUCUGGGGAAAAAUCUGCCUUCUAAGUUCCUUCUAAGUUCAUUUUUGGUGUUGGCAUAAUUCAAUUCCUUGCGGUUAUAGGACUGAGGUCCCUGACUCUUGCCAGGUGUUGGUCAAGGACUUCUCCGUGUCUUCAGAAACUGCCUGCAUUUUUUGACACACAGUUCUUCUAUCUUCAAGUCAGAAAUAGAACAUUGGAAUCCUUGUGCUUCUUAAGUUGUUUUUUUUUUUUUUUUCCAUUUUGAGAGAGAAAGGCAGGGGCAAGGGGCAGUGACAGAGGGAGAGAGAAUCCUGAGGAGGCCCCUCAUUGUCAGCAGAGAACCCAAUGCGGGGCUCAAACCCAUGAACAGUGUGAUCAUGACCUGAGCCAGAAUCAAGAGUUGGACACUUAACUGACUGAGGCACUCAAGUGCCCCUCCUUUUUGUGCUUCUAAUCUUUGACUUAUUCCACUGACAACCUUUUUUUGCAUAUAUAAAAUUUAAUGGUGAAAGCUGAAAGCCCUAUCACACAUUCCAAAGCCCAGAGUAAGUCAUUUGAGAUUAUGUGUGGCUUCGAUUGCUCUAUUACUGUGGCGAUUUGCAGUUUAAGUGUCGCUAUUCCAAUGUAAUGAUGCUGAUGAAUAUACGAAAAACUCAUCUAAAUUGAUAUCUUCUAAAAAAAAUUGAUGAUAUAUGUUCUGAUGUUUGUGUAUAAACUUUUAGAUGAUUAAGAUCAAAUCCUUUGAAAAAUGAAUAUUUUCUUCCUUUUUAUCAUAUAACAUGUUUUCCAAUAUCUUUCACAGUAAGUCCUAGAUGCAUUACAGAAGAAAUAUUGUCCUUUUCUAUACAAACGAUCUCAUCUAUUUUGACUUUGUUCUUAUAACUAACUCAUGCUUUCAGGAAUCAUUUAUGCCAAUGAAGUCAAAGACCAUUUAAAUUUCUUUUGGCGUAUUUCCUAUCAAAUGUUGCCUUAUGAAUAUGCAAUUAUAUUUCCCUAUUUCUGUUGUUAAUUUUCUUACUUUUUUUUUUUAGGGCAAAAUUUUUUCAUGUUGAAUAAAAAUGCCAGGUUGAAUUCAGCUAGUUUUACUGAUAACCUUACGAGUGCUUAGUAACAUAUAUUAUCCCUUUCUAUAGUAAAGAUGUUAGUUGAAAACAUCAAUUUUAAAAUUAAUAAGGUUUACCAAUUUAAUAUUUUAUUUUAUUAUUUUAUUUUUAAGAGAGAGAGAGAGAGAGAGUGCAGGCAAGGGAGAGGGGAAGAAAGAGAGAGAGAGGGAGAAAAUCUUAAGCAGGCUCUGCACUCAGCAUGGAGCCCAAUGUAGGGCUCAAUCCCAUGACUUUGGGAUCAUGACCUGAACCAAAAUCAAGAGUCAAUCACCCAACCGACUGAGCCACCCAAGCACCUGAACGUCUUACAUUACUUGCUUCUGCAUAGAUAGACAAAAGAAGAAAAGAUGUUAAUUUCCCACUUUUAUUUCAGAAAAGGGAUGAGUGUCUAUGGGCACCUGGGUAGCUCGGUUGGUUAAGUUUCAGCUCAGGUCAUGGUCUCAUGGCUCAUGAGUUCGAGCCCUGCAUCAGGUUCUGCGUUGACAGUGCUGAGCCUACUUGAAAUUCUCUCUUUCUCCCUCUCUUUCUGCUCCUUCCCCGCUCAUGCUUGCUCUCUCUCAAACUAAAUAAAUAAACAAAAAAAAAAAUAGAAAAAGGAUAGGAUAAUGUCCCAUCAUUAGUUACCUUUACGAAUUUGAUUUGUACAACUGAUAUUUGUCACUUUGAUUUGCCAUGUAUAUAAUUCAAUCAUCUGGAUAUUGUGCAAGCAUCUCCAAAACCUGGCAAGAGAGCAUGACUUUCCAUUUCCAAUAUGUUAGCCAAGUCCCUGAAUUAGUUUUGUUUAGAGAGAUCUGUCUUUCUGAGACAACUCUGACUAAAAUGAAACACUUUCUGGUGAACAAUUUUCCAAGCUUUAAGGCAUCUGUGCACCCUGUUCGGUUCAUCACAAACAGUGACUCCAAGGAUUUGGCAUUAGGGUAAUGAUUCUAAAUCAUGUACUAAAACAUUUUUCCCCCCAAGCAGCCACAGAAAUGGCAGUAUCUCUGCAAAUGAACAUUUAGCUUUUCCCACCUGCCAAAUGUAUCAAUGUUUACCUCUUUGAAAAUGUAAGAAUGUGUAGGUUAAGUAAAUUUAAAAUAUUCUUUGUCUUGUAAUGUCAUUCACACGGCAUUACGGAGGGUACCCUCUUCCAGGUGAAAGAUGUUCUUGGGUUGUCUCUCACUAUUUUCAUGGCUACAUGAAAAAUCUCUCUCUGGUAUUUACUGGAUUUUCAUCCUCCUGUGCCACUACCUGGAUAUUUGUUUCGUGUCUCAGUCUGAGGGAUGUGGGAUGAGUGUAUGUGUGUGUUGGGGGGGGAGGGGCAGGUAAAAAUUCUAGAAGCAAUCUUGUUUUGUGAAUUGUAUGCAAUUAUCAAGUGUAUUAGGCUAAGUAUCUCUGAAAUGUAUGACAAGCUACAGUUUAAGUAGUAAAUUGAUUUUAUUCCACUAAUUUUCCUAUGGAGCAGUUAAAUGUCUAUUUCUCAAGUUUUAUAUCAUCAUGCCAUGGGAAAUUGUGCUUCCAUUUUCUGGUUGAAAACCAAGAAAUACUCCACUCCACUUAAUUAAGUCAGGUAAUAAUUGGAGAAGUGGGGAUGUCCACCCCCAAUAAGGAAUGGGGUGACCAAAAGCUGAGCAGAUAGAGAACUAAAAUGACUUUCCAGCUUUUCUGAGUCAGGUCUCUAUGGUCUACUGUUAUUACUUUGUCUGAAAUGCAAAUUCUCAGAAUACCAGACACACCCAUAUUUCAAUGAAAGUACAAAAACAAAAUUGAAAGCCAACCACAGUUGAGUUUUUCAUUGUCUGUCACGUUGAGUGGUCUUGUCCCUUCGCCCUUCCUUUCCAUCCCACCUAACCUGAAUAAUCAAAAGCUGUCUCUGUUUAAGGGGAAAAAAUGUAGGUACUAAAAGGUAAUUCACAAAAGGGGCUUUCUUAUGUAAAUAAAUACUCAGUUGACCAUAAGCCCCCUCUUCUUGCUGAUGGCUCUGAAUAUUACCAGAUAUUACUGAUGUGUUGUUUCUUGGUGGUACAGAUGACCUUUACUGGGGAAAGUAAUGCAGAGAAGGACUUUCAUAUCCAGCCUGUAUUGCUGUUGGGCCUGUUUUCUCUUCUCACACAAGAUUAAGGGGUAGGCUUACUUGAGAGUCUAUGUUCUGGCAAGCCUUGCUGCUGAACUUGGCAGGAGCAUUAAAAUAUCUUUAUUAGAAACCAUGAAUCAAGUUCCAUCACAGAACUCAUAACCUUCUAGAUCUGGCUGUCUUCUUUUGUCAAACCUCACAGAAAGGUGUGGUUUAAAAUAAAGUUUAUUUUAAGGUGCAAAGAUCCAAUGAUGAUGGUAAAUUUUCUUCUAUAGCAUAUACAGGAAGUCUUCAUUUAAAGUAAAACACAUCAACUUGUGAUUUAAAAAUAUGCCACAGAAUUUCCAAAUAGAAUCCAGAGAAUUUUGCCAGUGAAGAGCUGGGUUGUAAAGAAACUGGGAUGGACUUUGAAGAGCACCAGCAUUUUCUUUGAGCCUGAUGAAAAUCCAUUGGCUUUGGUUCUUUAAAGGUACAUGUUAGAAUAGUUAUAAUAGGAAAUUCUGUUAGUACUUUCUUAGAGCAAAG